GGAUAUCUGAGUUGAACGCAGGAGACAGCACCAGCCCUCUUUAGAGCUCUGGAGGUUUGCAUACUUAAGUGAGACUGGUCCUUGGAGAAGAUGGAGCAGGUUCCGAAGGUCCGGGCUACUGGCGGUUCGAGCGGUUCAGCUCAGAAGACGACUGAAGUCAGCCGAAGGAUGAGCCAGGAGUUGCAGCACUCGGGCCCGAAGCAAAGCCAGCGCCUGUGGAUCCUGUGGAUGCUCGUUUGGGUACUUCUUUGGUCUCACUCAAAAACUCUGGCACAGAGGAUGACCUGGGCCUGCUGGGUUGCGUUCAGAGGUGACUUUGAAAAUCACGCAGAUAACUCAGAAAAACGAGACUCGAGCAGAGAAAACUUUCAAAAAUGGCUUCACGAAAUUAAAGAAAAAUCAAUCAAAGGCUUAAUCUUGAAUUGCUAUGCGCACAAAAAGUUGAAGUUUCAAAACUUGAACUAAGACGAUGUUAAAGAAAAAUCAACGUGAAUCAACACGUGGCGUAAAACUUAGUAGACUAAGAAAAAGUUCUAAGAGAAAACAAAGAAACGCACCACAGAAGGGUGUGGGCAGAAGAGAAGGGCCCAAGAGUACGGGGCAUAAGAGUAGAAGGGAAUAAGAGUGAACAAGAAGGUCAGCAGAAGAGAGUGAGCAACCCCACUUCACUGGUUUUAUCUUCUCACACUGGGAGUGUCUCUGGCGUGUGUGUGUGAGACAGAGGAGGGGUCGUGGAAUCUCUGAUUAUUUGAUCUAACUUAUUCUUUUGGCUGGUAAAAGAGUCAGAUCUGAUACUCACUCACUAUGAUUAAUAUCAUUGAAUGCUUGGUUUCAUGAUAAAUAAUUUGAUACUAAACACAUAUGAAUGAAGUGUAGGAUCACAUCAAACAUUCUCAUUAUGUUUUAAGUAUCACAUUGAACAUGCUAAAUUACUCUGAAAUGAAACAGAUAGUAACACAUGGAAACUGUGAACAACAAAAGAGUAAACACAUGUGAAUGAACUUCAUCAUGAUUAAUAAUGGAUUCUAAAUACUCACAUUAAGGUUAUUCAAUGACAUUAUAACCACCUAAUGGUUAAAAAUACUAAAUAAACAACUACAAUAUAAACCAAACAUUUCUAAACUGUUUCUGUUACCUAGAGUUAAGUUAUGAUUCAUGGUCGAUAAAUUUAACUCUUAAAAGUUCAUGAAACAGUCUGAAAAGCUGUUGGUCUAAAGAAACUAAAGAGCGAUAACUCGGCUUCUGGAGCACAUAGAAAAACGGGAAACAUCUCAUUUUAACACAAAUUUCAUGAUUAGACAGAUUAGUACAUUGCUGAAUGCAUAAGAUGUCAUGAUCAGUCAUUUGUAUUCUUUCACCAACGGAAUGUAGUCUUUAUCAGUGCAUGGUCGAGCAGGGUUUUACGACCGAGGUCUGGAGGUCAGUGUCCCCCCUUAUCCUGGGGUCCGUAUGUUCACACACUUUAAGACGCUAAAUCUCAAAUGGGAGAUCUGGGUUGAGGUUAAUGUUUAUUUAGAUGGUCAGCGAUGGAGUCAGUUUGAAAGGUAAUAAAAACUCUGUCUCUGUUCUCCGAAUCGACCAAUCGUGAAGAGUCAGAGGUUUAGUCAACCUCCGGUUGGGUCACUUAUUUAACCUGAAAGUGUAAACGAGUCUGGAAAGAUUUAUAUCCUGUUUCCUGGGACCAGAUAAGGAAACUUUCCUCUGAGGAAUGUGUGGGUUUCACACCCAGGGUUGUCUUGAUUGCUACACACCAAAUAUCAGGGCUGCACGAUAUCAGAAACACAGUUGGGUUUUUUUAAGAAUAAAUACAGGACACAUCAAGGAUCAAACCAGAGAAUCACAGUGUUUUAUAAUUUUGUUUCAUCGAGAACUUUAAAAAACAAAGGUUCAUAAACUACCUUGACAGAAAAGCAAAAGCACAACAGAGUAAAAACUGAAAAACCCAGACCCACUGAAAACACAACAUAGUAAUCACAGAUUGUUCCCAAGUCCAGGGUCUCGAACAGAAAAAGCACCAACUCAGGAAUUCCUUUACCUUUAAGCCUCAAAUUUGGAAGGACCUGGAGGUUCCUACAAGAAAAUCCAAGGCUCAGAAGGGGUCAGCAGUUCUAAAAUUUAACUCAGUCAAUCCAGACAUGCUCACAGGGGCUGAGACCAGGGUGAUGUGAUACCAUCUGUUUAAGCCAAUUGAGAAGCUAAGCUGUUGCAUUCUGAGCUGCCGAGGGAGUAAGUUAAGGUUCAUACCUGGAAAGUGCUGACUCUUACAGUAAAUAGCAUGCCACCUCAGACCUCAGCAUCAGCUGAUUUUUGUCUCAUUGACAUUGACAGAUUUUAAACUAUUUAUCAUCAAGGUAUGAUCAUGCUUCCUUAACUGACCUCUUUGCUGCUGCUGGUACUCAUUUUAAGGGUUAACACUUAAACAUAAAAAAGCUCUUCUCUGAUUGGCCAAUAAAAGUAUUCUUGCCAGCUGCAGCAAUCUUCUCCUUCCUGCUGUGGACACAUGGGGCUAAUUUACAGCUCAGGAGCUCAGAUUCACCUUCAAAGUUAAUUCCAGCCGGCUCCUCUGCCUCUGUCACCUUCAAUUAUUAUCUCUGCUCUUUGCGGAGAGGUCACAGCGGAGGUCACCAACCCGCCGCUGACGUCUCCAGCAGGAAGUGGUUGUCCAACUGGCUCCGGUCUCUCUUGACUGUGACCCCUGGUGCCCUACAGGUGUGUUUUUCAGGUCAUCCUGCCAAUUAGAAAGCUCAUGUGUAUGCAGAGGCAGCAAUGCUCAUUAAACUAAUAUGAAUGCAAUUUUACUGGCCAGAUAAACAGGGUUUUUAAAUAGUAAAAAAGCAGAGAUCAUUCUGAGCUCCUCUGCAGCAUGUCCUGAUUAUUCACUUUUUAAUUGGUCUGAAGUUUGCAGGAACGUCAGGAGUUGUGAAAUUCACUCCAGUUUAUGACACCUUCUUAUCUGGAGAGUGUUUAAACCGGAGUUGUUGGCAUGUGCUUACAUACAAUAAGUCAGAUCAGUGUCCACAUUUCAAUGGGGGCAAAGCAGCAACUGGGUCAAAACACUCGUCGCCAAUUGGGGGUGGGGGGGUGGGUCUUCAGUUUUUUGCCUUUGAUUCAAAUUAUUUUGCAACAUCUCACCACUGUACUAAGAUACUCUGAUAAUGCUGGACCCCAGAAAUACCAAUCUAACAUUAAUACAUCUAUAUUAAAGGUCAACACUAGGUCCACAUUUCAAGGUCCUCUAAAGCAGGGUUCCUGGUUCAUGAUGAUUUAAAGGUUACCUAAAGCAAUCCAAAUCAAUUUAUUGUUUGUCCAUGAUUUCCAAAAAGAAUGUCAGGUUGUGAUCCAUCAGACCAUCAGAGAGGUCUUUGGGUUCCUCUCAAAUAAAGGUUUUAAAUGUUUUGUAACUAUCAGAAUCAGUUUAGGUUACAGAUGCAGAUAACCAACAUUAGAGUUGGCAUAAAGAGAGGAGCCAAAAAGAAGUUAAAAAAGCCUGAUUCUUUGAGUCCCUGCACACCUUGCUGUGCUAAGCGUCCAUGAUUGAGUGUCUGAAAAAAGGCUGAAAGGAUGUCAGACCGUUUCUCCUUUAUGGAGAGGUAAGAUGAUGUUUUCAGGAGCUGGCAGCACUUCUUUUCCUCUUUUGGUCUUCAGAGAGUCAUCUGUAUUAAAGGUCUGUGAUCAUCCUGAGAGACAGCUAAUACAAUUUUCUCUCUUUCCACCAAGACGACUGUCUUCAGAAGACACAGAUCCAGUUUUUACACCAAUAAACCAACUCAGUAAGAAGCUCCAACAUUCGGAUAAACCAAACCAGAGACUCUCUUGAAGAUACUUAUUGAUAUGAGUGGAGAAUCACAGACUGAUAGUAAAUCUCAUCAAUCACAGGGGGUAUUUUGUCUUAAACAAGUUCUUGGCCAGUAAAAUAAGAGUUAAAGGAUGCUUGGUGUGGGUUUGGAAAUUAUCAUUCAGAGAGACAAUAACCAGUUAUACUAGGUAACCUUUUUAAGGGUGUUCCACAGGGCUCCUGGGUCUUUUUUUUACCAUCUACAUAAAGGAUGUUGUCUCCAUGCUCUCAAACUGUCAAACAGUCUAUAUGCAGAUGACACCUGAAGAAGUAGAGGCCUUUACUGACCAUAUCAACACAGUGGACAGCAACAUCAAAUUCCGUGAAGAUGUUAAGGACGAUGUGUUGGCCUUUUUGGACUGUGCUGUACACUUGAAGGCAGACGGGUGUCUCAACGUUGAAGUUUACAGGAAACCCACACACACAGAUCAAUAUCUAUUUUUUGAUUCCCACCAUCCUCUACAACACAAACUGGGUGUCAUCAGAACACUCAACCACCGGGGUGAGAACAUUCCCACGAAGAAAGAAGGUGAGGAAAGGAACAGAAGCACAUCAAAAAUGCCCUGACAACCUGUGGAUACCCUAAGUGGGCCUUUGUGAAGAACAAAAAGAAUAAUAACACUGAACACGAAAGGGAGGAGAGACGCAAGAGCACUGUAAUCCCUUACGUUGCAGGCCUGUCGGAAAAACUCAAGAGGAUCUUUGGCAAACACCAUAUUCCUGUUCAUUUCAAGCCUGGCAACACACUAAUUGCAGAGGCUAGUCCAUCCCAAGGACAAAACACCGAGACAUAAACAGAGUAAUGUGAUGUAUGCUGUCUAGUGCAGCGAGGAAUGCUCGGACCUGUACAUUGGGGAAACUAAACAACCGCUUCACAAGCGCAUGGCUCAUCACAGGAGAGCCACUUCCUCAGGUCAGGACUCAGCUGUCCACCUUCACUUGAAGGACAUGGGUCACUCUUUCGAGGACAGCAAUAUACAGGUGCUGGCUAGAGAAGACAGAUGGUUUGAAAGAGGAGUUAAAGAAGCCAUCUUUACCAGGCUGGAGAAACCUUCUCUGAACAGAGGGGGUGGACUCAGGCACAAUCUCUCUGGCACUUACAAUGCAGUUCUCAGCUCUCUCCCCAGGAAGCUCCACAAACACUCACCCCAGGGACCACAUGACCCAGGUUUCGUGGUCACAUGACAGGGGUCAUUAACGACCCUUUUAGGUUAACGAUUGGGGGGGGGGGGGGCACACCCGAAGAUGGGUUUCUACGACCCAACCCCUCCCAGCUGUUGUCUGUCCCCUUCUCCAGUAAGAUAAAUAUCUGCUCCUCACACUACCAAUAAUGAGAACUGAAGAAGCUUCUUGGAUAAGAGGCGAAACGUCUUCUCAACUCUACACAGUCCAGUUGCCUGAUUAUGGAGUCAACCAUGACCUGGAUGAAUGAGAAUCUACAUGGAUGAUCUGUUUGAUAAUUACAGUCUUUUUCCCCCUUUACUAUUUGUCUUUUCUUUCACUUCCAUGUGAUUAUUUUUUUCUCAUUUGAUAAUUUUUGUGGACUCUAACCAGUCUCUUGUCUUUACUCUAUGCAUGUUUUGUGAACUGCCUUUGUAAUAUCUCUGAAAAUAAUCUCUUAAGUCUACACCAAGUGGAAUGAAUGAACAAGUUUUGUCCACCCACCCAUUUUAUUCCCUUUGGCACGUUGGCAGCAGGUCAGCCAGCAACAUUUCCAAGCGGGUCUUCAGUGAGUCUGAGAUAUUCCAAGAUCAGAUCAGAUAUUUAAUCCCUCAACAGAGCUAUGGGUCUACCUCAUGGCCCCAGAAAACCUCCAGGGAGGCUCCCCGAGAUCCUACAGAUACCUGGACCACCUCUGGUUUAGACAUCCUCUCACCAUAUAUCACUCAUGUUCUAAAACCAGCAGAUGGAAAGGUGAUUUUCCAGGUGAGCCCACUGACAGCACAUUUAGUCAGUGAGUCAUUCCUCCCCUCAGGUUGCCAGAUCUGCCUGAGAGGCUGAAGUCUGAGGGCUCUAUUAUCGUGUCCGCCAACGGCGCGGCGGAGGGUGGCAGACCCUGCGCAGUGGUAUUUUCGUCUGGCGGAGCCCGGCAUACAGCCAGUUUGUUUUUUUUUGUGGACUGGGGCGCACCAAGGUCCACCAAGCUGGGCGUGGUGGCGUAUCGGCAUACGUCACUGAUGCCUCACCGGCACCAGUGUCAGGCACAUUUCAGUGCAAUAAACAAUCAACAACAACUAAUAAUCUGAGUCAGCACAUACAUUUAGAGUCCAUGAUAUAUUCUGAUCUGAUCUGAUGAGCGCAUUUGGCACACGUUUGGACACUCAACCUGACCAAACUAACUCCUAGUUAGUUAUUUAAUUUAAGCCUACAUACAAAUAUCAUAAUAUUCAGUUUUGUGAGCCAAAUUUAUUUUAUAUGCCAACAUCUAUGAAAGAAAGAGCCAGGCCACGGAGCGCGAUGCGUCAUUUUCGCACAGAUGGUUCCGAUUUUAAUGCCAUUAUUGGUAUUUAUGUUGUGAUAUGUGCGCACAACCCACCUUUGUCAAGUGAGGUUUAAAUAUGUGUUACUUUAUGUGAGUGUCUUUAUUUGUGGAAAAGGAUGUUUGUCUUACCAGUGGGUACAACCUUUCACACACUUAAUCCCUCUGUGCUUAUAUGAGACAGUGGCUGUGUCCGAAAUGGCCUACUACUCCUACUACUCCUACUAACCCCGCCUCUGAAUUGAGUAGGCAGUGCGUUCACAUUGUACAGUAUGCGAAUUUUGUGUAUGCGAGAAAUGCCCGGAUGUAUACUCAAUCAGCUUCGAUUUCUGAGUGUGCAACGGAGCUUGCUUCACGUACUGCUUCUGCCCCACAAUGCAUUGCGCACCUCAGCUGGUAAUAUGGCCCUCCUUCCCGAGGCUGAAAAGAAAUAGAUGGCAUGUGAUUGCAAUAAUAAUGAUAUAUAUAUAAAUAGAUAAACAAUAUUUAGUCAGUAUACAUUACACAAUUUUCAUCAUUUUAUCAUAUUUUGAUCUUUUUACCAGAUUUAUUUGUAUUUUAAAUUAGGAUUAUAAGUAAUGUUUUUAACUACUCGUAUGAAUUGACUUUAUUUAUUUAAGUGUCUAUUAAAGAUGUAUUUAUUACAUCAAGUUUGAGCAUCUUCUCAUCUCUGAAUGCAUCAUCAAAGUGGUCGCUCAUAUUAAGCUCAGACCUCUGAUUAAUAAAAAUUAUUAUUGGUAGAGAGCACAUGGUUCAGAAUAUACAAACGGGGGAGUUUCCAGUUGACAAUGUAUGUGAGCUUUACUAAUUCUUACUUGUGAUUGAAAAUCUGAUGGUUUCUGAAAUAAUCAUUGUACAUGAAAAGAAUGUAGUCGGGAAAUGAUGUAUUUGCCAAGGAAUGACCGAACGAGUUCAUAAUAAUUAUGUUGUGUGUUGGUCAUUUUGCAGCCCUCUGCUGCUCAUCACACGCCUAGCAGGUGGUGUAUAGCAUUAUCACCAUGGAUACACGGAUGUUUGUGUGAUUUUUUUCAUCCACUGUCGCCCGGUUUGUGUCGUGUAGAUGUUGAUUAUGAAAAAACUUCGCAAUAAUUUGGAAACGUGAAGGGGGAGCUGCUGCUGCCCGGUGUUUACGGUAAAUAGACGCAAACACCGACCAAGUGGACGCUUCGGUCUCCGAAAACGCCGAGACAAAUUUACAAACAGCCACUAUUUCAAACAACUGGGCUCAUAAUCGUGAUGUAAACACUUACUUUCUCUCUAGAAAAAAUAUUAUUAUUGAAUGAAUUUAUAUAAUUUGUCCGGAAUGCAGUCGUUCUGUGUUGCUUGUGGUAGGACUAUUUAAAUUUUCCCGGCGCUGCGUCCGGCCGGCACGAAAUGCAUUCUGGGGUAUUUAGUAUGUAUGUGUGUAAACGCUCGGGCAGCCGCGGCAUACUCAUAUCAUCUUUGAGUAGUCAGUAGGCAGUAGCUACUGCUUGAGUAGGUAAGUAGAUAGUAGGCAGUAUGCCAUUUCGGACACAGCCAGUGUGCAGGACGCCCUCUGCAGCGCUUACAGCGACACAUGUUGAGGAGCUGCCUUCUGUUGCCGUCGUGUGGCAUUGCUGUCUUCAGACAUCUCUUGAUCUCUUUGACUACUUCACAAAAAUUUUAAUACGCUUCUGCGGUGGCAGAUUUAAAGGCGAGGAGAGGAGCUUAUGUUAUUGGUCAAUAAAGCUCUCGGCUGUGUUAAACCUGCUCCACGCUCUCUCUCCUCCCUCCCUACGACUUACGCCGCUGGGAGGAGCUCAGUUAGGGAGGGGGGAUACUUGCGCCGGGCUGCACCGCUCACCAAAAUACCAAAUUGUGCUUGGGAAUGCCUUGUCGGCGCGGUGGACCUGACUUACGCCAUGCCUGCGCCAUGACAUAGAGCUCUGAGUGUUGGUGUGUUCACUCAUUUAUCAUCCUGCCCUUGAUUUGCUGGUUAAAUACUUUCUUGUUGGUCUUACAGAUUUGUCUCUGUGUGAUUCUUGAUUUGAUUGUUUUGGGUUUUGUUACUCGCUGUGUUUCAACUUAAACCUUGACCUGUUUUUUUCUCCUGCAGACAUUUUAAAUAUUGACCAAAUUCUUACUUAAAAGUUGACCAUCCUGACAGGACAGGUUUUUAUCUACUGUUUUUUGAGGUCUGACCUGUCUGGACGCCAAAAGUGAUGUAUCUGUGUAGCGGUUUUAGGAGAUUCUACAUAAAUCUACCGCACAGGACAGAAAUUUGUUUACUUUGACAACCAGUAACAAGUCAGAAAAAAUGCUUCCACUUACUUUGGAUGCAUUUGGCUAUGCCAGAAAAUAACUGAACCAAGGGUCAGAUUCCAUCCUUUUCCAAAUCCAAGACUCUGAACAUCAAAUAGACUCUCUUGCCAUGGAGGCCUCCUGCCUCCAUGACAACAACACCAAUCUGCCCUGGCAUGGCCCUUCUCUCAUCCCUGACUCGGUGCACCCCAUCAUACAGUCUAUCUAGGAAAAUGACCAGGAUUGGCCUUGGCUUAGUGCGAAACCUUAAGUUCAGAACUGUUCCACACCUGCCUCCAUGGAACCUUUGACAGUCAUUCGGGGUAAGAAGCCUGGUCAGAACAACUCCCAAACUCCUUCAUCUGUUUCUACUCGUCCCUGAGGGACAUCCGGCGGGGGAACAGGUGCGAAGAACAAGAAAGAUGAACAAAAACCCAUUCAACAACCUGGAACCUCCUGCAGAUCCUGUCCCGGCAUCACUGAAGCUUCUGUCCUUGGGUCCAGUCAGAGCCUCUGCCCUGAAGUUAGGAGCAGGUAGACACUGUGCACCACCACAGCCUACCUCAUCAAGGAGAAGGAGCCCCAUGCUGUCAAGCAGAGAUGUGAAUUGUGGAGUCACCGAGUCAUCUCCAUGCCAUGUAUUUGUUCUGCUCAGUUACUGAACCAGGUGCCUUCACUAAUGAGCUCACCUUCCUGGCUGCUCACUGGAAGCAGCUGGUUCAGUGACAGAACAGAACAAAUACAUGGCAUGGAGAUGACUUGGUGACUCCACAAUUCCCAUCUCUGCUGUCAAGUGAGCCACAGCUUCAGCCUACCACUCCGGUGCUAGGGGACUCCAUUAUCCAGAAUGUCUGAUUAACUGUUGUUUUCCUGGAGCUACAGUCUGUAACAUUACCAGUAAAGUCACUGAAGUCAUCUUGACGAGACCAGGAAUCAUGACAGUCAUAAUCCACAUAGGUACAAAUGACAUCUGUAGACAGCAGUCUGAGCUCCUGAAAGCUAACUUUGUCCACUUAAUCACAACACUGCAGAGGUACAUAAACCACAUCCAUAUAUCCGGCCCCAUCCCCUCCUGUGGCUGCUGCUGUGGGUGUUUCAGUCGGCUGCUGGCACCACACACCUGGCUGUCAUCAGCCUGCAUUGCUCAUGGUGUUUACUACAUCAACAUCUUAAACCUUUUCUGGUGCAGGAGAGAUCUUUUUAAGUAGUGGAGCAGACAAAUGCAUAAUAUAGCCCGAAUCGUUCACUUUGUUAUACAAGCAUGAAAUUUGGUACAUAUACUCUUCAAACCCCACUCUUUUCAAAAAUAACGUUAGCCACGCAAAAUUCCAAGAUGGCGGCCCCAAAAUCCAAGCUGUCCGCCCCAAAAAUGCGGUUUUUCCUUUAUAACUCAAAAUGACUUGAUUUUAAGCCCCAUACAUAUAUUGAAGUUGAAUAUAAAGUUCGGUAUUGCGGACAUUUUGGUAGCCAGUACAUUUCUGUAUCCAUUACGGUUCUUGAGAUACAGCAUAUGGAUACUUGUACAGAAUUGGGAGAGUGAGAAAUUUGUAACACCGAUUGUUGUUACGUGCAUAUGGUUGCAUGAAAAUAUCAUUUCCAUUAUCUGUUAUUUUCAUGAAGGUUAUAACAUUAAAUUUGAAAAACAAGAUGGUGUCCAAGGUGGCUGCCAUUGCCUUGAAGUAAUCCGAUCUUAGUGACUAUGAAACAUUAACUUUUGGCAUGCACAUAUUUUUGGUCUAUGCAUCCAAUGGGGCCAUUGCAGUACAGAAUUUAGAUGUUUAUACAGUACAAGCUUGCAGAUGUAAUAGAGUGAAUAUCGGCACACAACCAGGGCACACUGGUGAUAUCACUGCUGUGUAACUCAGCAUGACCUCCAGGGGUUCUUUCAGCAUGAGAACCAGUCCUUCCCUGUUGCAUUGAGCAAGGGUGGAAAAUUGUACACUUGCCAGAAGUCUCAGCUGACCCCUAUCCUUGAGAAUUAUGUCCCACCUAGUUGGGUCACAAAGUGAGACUCUGUGACCAUCCUCUGGCAAGGAUGUUUUGACGAUUGAUUUGACCUCUAUGGACCCUUUAGAAAAGAUUUGGCCCCCAGGUCCCUCGCAAAAAUCCUGGCAUUUUUUGCUAGACAGCCAAAUUCAAGAUGGCGGCCGGCGCCAUCUCUAAAAAUUAACUUUUGAUCUGGAUGACCUAGAAUCAUGUAUGAAGGCACUUUUCCAUACAAGUCAACCAUGAGGAUUCCAAAUCUGACAUAGUUUUAAUCAUACAACUUUGUUUUGACCGCGAUAUUCAAGAUGGCUGCCAUCUAGUACUGUAAUUCUCAACCUUUUCAGGACUUGACCCCCCAAAACAAUCAUAUUUGAACUGGGUAACCCCCAAUUUGUUUGAGUCUGUUCCACAUAUAAAUAUUGUGAAAAUAGCCGAUCUACAAGCCUGUAACACCUUGUAUUGUGAGGCGUGUGAGCUUGCAGAUCGUCUAUUUUCUUUUUCUUAUAUUAUUUGACAAUUUGGCCAAUGGUUUAGCAUUGUUUGUUGAUUACUUUGGAUGCAGUGAGGAUCUUUUUCUUUGAGGAUCUUACAAGUCCUAACAUUAUCAUUAAACUGUCAUCUGGGGGUACGCCACCAACCAAUGAUCAAGUACAGAGAAAACUUAACUUAACAACAACAUAAAGGCCAGUGAUAUUGCACUCAAACUAUCCAGUAUGCUUGAUUCAUGUCAGCAGCAGUACUUAACUCAGGCAAUUUGAUUGGCUGUCCCUUCAUGUCAGGGAUCAUCUUUGGGUCGACUUAAUGGUAUAUGUGGCUUCAUUACACAGACUACCACACUGGAGAAUACAUGACAGUCUGUCUGUUCUUGUUGGUAUAUUAUUUUCUUCCAUAUUCAAGCAGCCAUGUAUGCUGCAUGCACACUGUCUUUACAGAUCAAAUGUGUAGCUCCUCUAACUGUGGGCUCAAAAGAAUGACUGAGGCAACAUUUAGGAAAGCAGCAGCACUAAACAAGCAGCAUGUGCUAACAUGCCCUGACAUGAAGGGACAGGAGGGUGGAGGGUGGCGGACCUCGCGCAGUUGUAUUUUCGUCCGGCGGAGCCCGACGAACCGGCGUACAGCCAGUUUGGUAUUUUCAUGGACUGAGGCACAUGGAGGCGAACCGAGAUCUGCCAAGCUGGGAGUGGUGGCGUGGCAGGGGGAGGUGUCGACAGAAUCAGCGGGCGCAGUGACAUUUUCGUGCUCGCCAAUGGCAUGUAAGUGCACUGAAAGCUCGCCGAUUCAAACCUGGUCAGCUUUCAGCGCAGGCGGAGUGCAGCUGGUCUACUAGUAUUUUGGUAGACCGACAGCAUAUCGGCAUACGUCACCGAUGCCUCACCAGCAGGUUUCCACAGUUUCAGGUAAAUUUCAGUGCAAUAAAUAAUCAUCAACAACUACUAAUCUGAGUCAGCACAUACAUUUAGAUCUAUAUAGAUAUAUUCUGAUCUAUAUCUGAUCUGAUGAGCGCGUUUGGCACACGUAUUUCUUGCGCAACUCGACCUGGACACGUCUCCGUGUCCUCUCUCUGUCCUGCUGCUGCUGAACAGAUGAUUUGUUUCAGUGAUCAGAUGAGUUAUUUACUUUAAGCCUACAUACGAAUAUUAUAAUAUUCAGUUUUGUGAGGCAAAUUUAUUUUAUAUGCCAACAUCUAUGAAAGAAAGAGCCAGGCCACGGAGCGCGAUGCAUCAUUUACACACAGAUGGUUCCGAUUUUAAUGCCAUUUUUGGAGUUUAUGUUGUGAUCUGUGCGCUCAACCCACCUUUGUCACGUGAGGUUUGAAUAUAUGCAACUUUAUGUGAGUGUCUUUAUUUGUGGAAAAGGGUGUUUGUUUUACCUGUGGGUCCAACAUUACACACACCAAAUCCAUCUGUGCUCAUAUGAGAGAGUGUGGAGGACGCCAAAUGCAGCGCUUACAGUGACACUUGUUGAGGAGCUGCCUUCUGGCAUUACUGUCUUCAGACAUCUCUUGAUCUCUCUGACUACUCCACGGAAACAGUAAUACGCCUCACUGAUGGCGGAUUUAAAGGCAAGGAGAAGAGCCUAUGUGAUUGGUGAAAACAGGUCUCGGCUGUGUUAAACCCACUCCACGCCCUCUCUCCUCCCUCGCUACGACUUACGCCGCUGGGAGGAGCUGAGUUAGGGAGGGGGGAUACUUACGCCGGGCUGCGCUGCUCACCAAAAUACCAAACUGUGCUUGGGAACGCCUUGUCGGCGCGGCGGACCUGACUUAUGCCGCGCCUGCGGCAUGUCUCCGGCGAGGCACGAAAUAGAGCCCCAUGUGUUACAGGCUUGUAGAUCGGCUACUUUCACAAUAUCUAUAUGUGGAACAGAGUCAAACAAAUUGGGGUUUACCCAGUUCAAAUAUGAUUGUUUUGGGGGGGUCAAGUCCUGAAAAGGUUGAGAAUCACAGUACUAGAUGGCAGCCAUCUUGAAUAUCGCGGUCAAAACAAAGUUGUAUGAUUAAAACUAUGUCAGAUUUGGAAUCCUCAUGGUUGACUUGUAUGGAAAAGUGCCUUCAUACAUGAUUCUAGGUCAUCCAGAUCAAAAGUUAAUUUUUAGAGAUGGCGCCGGCCGCCAUCUUGAAUUUAGCUGUCAAGCAAAAAAUGCCGGGAUUUUUGCGAGGGACCUGGGGGCUAAAUCUUUUCUAAAGGGUCCAUAGAGGUCAAAUCAAUCGUCAAAACAUCCUUGCCAGAGGAUGGUCACAGAAUCUCACUUUGUGACCCAACUAACCAGUUGACAAGGAACCUGAGGCAGACGUUCUCAUUGUAGAUGGGUCAGCUUUGGACCACGCCCUGCCACCAAAAAGAUCCAAGACAUUUGAGGACUAUGCAGCUCUCGACUUCCUACCUGUGAUCUACAUGUACUCCAGCAAGUACACAAUGACACAUCUGGUCUUUGAUGUGUAAAACCCAUCAAGCCUUAAAGCUGAGACCAGGUCCAAACGUGGCCAGGGGGGAAGACACAAGGUAACAAAUAAGAACACCAUGCUAUCUAACUGGCAUAACUUCCUGAGGCACAAUGACAACAAAACAGAGUUGUCCCACCCUUGCCGAAAAGGUUGCACAAAUGUUUGCCCUAAAUACCGUCAUCGUCACAAAGGGACCUGCUGUCCUCAGCACUCGUGCAACUGGUCUUGAUGGACUGGAUAAAUGCUCUCACGAGGAAGCGGACUGCCGCAUCUUUGUGCACGCCAAACAUGCAACUGGUAGCCAAGCCAUCAUGAUCAAGGCAAAUGACACAGAUGUUCUGAUCUUAGCAAUAAGUGUAUUCAGCGGUCUCCAAGAGGCUGGCCUACAGCAUAUGUGGCUUGCAUUUAGGCAAGGUCAGACUCUGCGCUGGAUCAGUGUGCAUGACAUAUUUCAGCAUGUUGGCCAGGAGAAGGUCAAAGGCAUGCUCUUCUUCCAUGCCUUUACAGGAUGUGACACUGUGUCUGCCUUCCGCAACAAAGGCAAGAAAAUGGCUUGGCAUACAUGGGACAUAUGUCCAUAAUCCUUGCCUGUAUUCGCCAAACUGGGUAUUUACCCUCCCACAGUGGAGGACUGCGACAUAGAGGUGCUUGAGAAGCUUGUCAUUCUCAUGAAUGACAGAUCCAGCACAGCUGCUACUGUGGAUGAGGCCAGGCUUGACUUGUUUGCCAGAAAGCAGAGGCCCUAUGAGUCUAUCCCACCAACCAGAGCAGCUCUACUCCAACACACCAGGCGUGCUGCCUAUCAGGCUGGUUGUGUGUGGGCCCAGGCAACCCAGUGUCAGCCAGAAGCAGAGGACCCUGCAGACUGGGGAUAUCAAAAUGUUGGUGAGGAAUAGCAGAUCUUCUGGACAGCCAACUCUCCAAUAGCCAAGAAGACAGCCUCCACGUGGCCUCCCCCUCAAGUAGCCAGAGAGUAGUUGCCCUUUAAGCGAAACAAAUGUCUUGGCAAUGUCCACAAUGUCCAACAGACCCCCCCCCCCCCCCCACCUCCCAUAUCCAGUAGUAACAGAAUCCAUUGAAAAAUCUCUUUUGUCACUUAUUUUGGGUUUCAAACUGAGGUGUUGAAUUUUGGAUUCUGGGCAAACAAACCACUAGGGGGCGCACCCAUAUUGUUUGCGGUGUUUUUUCAAAACCUUAUACACAUACCUAACACCAUAACAAAAAUCAGAAAAUUGUCACAAAAUGCCUAAUUUUUAACCUUUUUUGACAAGUUUCAUCCUUCUGAAUUCAUGAUUCAUCUCUGCUGAAUUCAUGAUUACUUCAAGGCAAUGGCAGCCAUCUUGGACACCAUCUUGGUUUUCGAAUUUAAUGUUACAACCCUCAUGAAAAUAACAGAUAAUGGAAAUGAUAUUUUCAUGCAACCAUAUGCACGUAACAACAAUCGGUGUUACAAAUUUCUCACUCUCCCAAUUCUGUACAAGUAUCUAUAUGCUAUAUCUCAAGAACCGUAAUGGAUACAGAGAUGUACUGGCUACCAAAAUGUCCGCAAUACCCAACUUUAUAUUCAACUUCAAUAUAUGUAUGGGGCAUAAAAUCAAGUCAUUUUGAGUUAUAAAGGAAAAACCACAUUUUUGGGGCGGACAUCUUGGAUUUUGGGGCCGCCAUCUUGGAAUUUUGCGUGGCUAACGUUAUUUUUGAAAAGAGUGGGGUUUGAAGAGUAUAUGUACCAAAUUUCAUGCUUGUAUAACAAAGUGAACGAUUAUUUCCUUAUCUGCUCAGCUAAAGGUUGAUGGUGUUGAUCCGAAGUUGCUGGGGGUAAAACUGCUUACGGGAAACAUUUUUCAAGGCGUCCUCCACCCAUGUGUAACAUUCUCAGGUAAACAAAUCACUGCACCCCCUUGAACGCCCUCUGAUUAGUCCCGCUACUAUUGAUGUCAUUGGUACUGUCUACGAGGAGCCAGGAUCCAUCCCACACUAUCAGUCCCACAACAAAACUCUACACCAGUAAACUGCUUUAAUUAUCACCCCUAACACCACUAACAAAUCAUAAAACCACUGAGGGGUGCUUAUAAAGAAUAUGAUAUGGAAUGCGGUGUUCCCCAGGGUUUGAUUCUCGGCCCAACACUUUUUAAUCUCUACAUGUUAUCUUUAUCUUCAUCAGGAGGCAUGGCAUCAACUUUCACAGCUAUGCUAAUGACACCCAGCUUUCGAUUGCCAUGUCUCCUAAUGACACAGAGCCCAUUGAUGCCCCCUUUAACUGUAUUUUAGAUGUCCAGUCUUGUAUGGCAGACAACUUUUUGCAGCUAAAUCAGGGCAACACUCAGGUUUUAGUUAUUGGUACAGAUCCAUAGAGAGAGGAACUGGAGCAAAAAAUUACCCUUAUUAUAUCUUAUUAUGGUUUUGUCCCUUUAGUCUUAGGUUCAGUGUCUCCUCAUUUUCAACUGAAGAGUCCUCACCUAGUCUUUUGUGUGUGCGUCUCUGUGUGUGAGCAUGUAACUGUUUUAGGUGUUGAAUGUGGGUCAAGAGGGUGGGUGGGGUUCUGUAUUUGGAUUUUAUUUAUUCUAUUUUCUCAGGACCAUGGGGCAAGCAUACCCAGGCAUACAGGUCCCUAUGUACUUGUACAGAUGCCAGUGCCUGUGGAUUUUUGCUUAUUCCUCUUCUGGACAGAUUUUGAUUUGCUUCUAGUUCUACAGCUUGAGGAGUUGUAUGACAAAUGAUAUAUCAAAACAUGUGGAUUGAUCAGGAUCAGUGUGCUAUUGCUUUGUUGCAUACACUAUGGGGGGGGGAAGUGCAUUGAAGUCAAUGGGACGAGCCAAAAACUAGCAAUUAUUGGAGUUUUUCAAACAUCUACCUGCUCUGCAUACUUUCACCUAGAGACUCCAUUCAAACUUAAAAAUGUAGAUACAAGUCUUGUCAAUUUGUGUAUUGAUUCACAUUUUGAUAGGUAGUGUAGUUUUUGAUCCAUCACUCUUCAAUGAUCAUGAUCAUUUUUGGAGAAAUUUUGAGAUUUAAUAGGUGUGUAUUGUAUGGGUGACAUCAUCAGCUAGAUUUAGAGAAGUUGCAUGAAAUCAUCUGAAACUUUUGUCUUUUCAUGCUCCUUCCAACCACAAAUUACACUCUGACGCAUGUUAUUUUUUUUCCACAGUUGAGGACACAUUUGUUCUGUCUCUAACAAUGUGUUCAUCUGAGCAGAGAGACUUGCAUAAUUUAAAUACUGAGCCUCAAAGUGCGGCAAUGUCUCUCUCUGCUCCUCAUUGACACUAAUACAAAGAUUUUCUGAGAGAAGCAGCAGGGACUCCUGUUUAUAACUUGCAAGUAUGUUAACUGUAGAAAACACCAAAAACACCAAAAAAUCAAAACAGUCAGAAAGUCAUUACAAUGACCACUCAACUGCUUUUUUUCUGAUAGGAGCUACUGCCUCAGUCUGCGGUGCAGCUAUAGUAAUGGGCAACCAGCACAAUUCACUAAUCAGGGACUGCUCUGAUAUCUCUGCAUCAUUGAAAUAUUUAAGAGCAAUUUGAUUGAUGAGCGAGAAAAAAAAAAAAAAAACCUGACUCAAAAUAUAAAAAAAACUUAUUUGAGCCACAGGGACAUAUACAGAGGAACUGGCCUUUAAACAAUUGACAUGCUACAUAUAAAUUCUACAGCAGGCCCCUGUAAAAUAAUGUUAUACACUACUGCUAUACUGUGGAUUUUUCAAUUUGUUACUGUUUAAUUCUUCUGUAAUUCGUUGAUGAGAUGACACAUGAGACUUCAGACUCUGAUAAUGCCUCAGGGUAGAUAGAGUCACUAUUCUUAAACUGUGGAUUUUUUCUUAUUCCUCCUCCAGACAAAUUUCGACUUGCUACUACAGUCUUACAGUUUGAAGAGUUGUAUGACAUAUUAAAUAUAAAAAUGAGCAGUUCAACAGGGAUCAGUUUGUUAUUACUUUUCUCUAUUGUAUUUGAAGUUUUGGCGAUGUUAGUCACAAGAAACUUUGCAUUGAAGUCAACGGUACAAGCCAAACAAAAAAGAAAGUAUUGGAGUUUCUCACACAUCUACUAGUAUGAUUCUGGUAAUUUAUUAUAUGAAUGAAUACUUGAAAAAGGAAUGGUAGUUGUAGGUGUGCCCCUUGUAUUUAAUAUCACAAUGCUACUAAUAUUAAUUUUUUGAAAUCUCUAAAGAAACCCCUCACACCCCAGCAGUGGCUGUCGUAGCCCUUUUAAAAUUUCCCAGAGGGAAUUAUCUAGUUAUUUUUAUAUCCUGCUUGCAUGGGCAGCACUUUGCUCUACAUUUUUUUGUGUGAAUGGUGCUAUUUAAAUAAAGUUUGAUUCAUAGAUUUAUUUGUUCUCAUCAGGCCAUCCCUACUGAAGUCUUCAUCUCUUAAAGGUCACUCUCCCCGUCCUGUCAACGUGAUACGACAGCGUAUAACAAGAUGAGUCUCUGAGAGCUCUCUGCAGUCUCCUCCUGCUGCAUCUCCCUUUAAAGUGACACUACUUCCUGUCUAUUUCAGGAGACUCCUUAUUAAAAUGACAUUGUUGUCAAGAAGUCUAAAGGACAAACUGAAGCAAGUUCAUUAAAUCAGUAUAAGUGAAGAGGUACUUUGAAAUGGGUCAUGACAGGCAUGACUGAGUCAUAAUGCAGAGCUGCAGUAAUGUAUGCCUUUAUAAAACUCAUUAUUAAAGCAGGGAGACCUUCCUUCUGAGACAAUGAUGAAGACUAAAAUAUCCUCAUAGUGUUAAUUAACAUUCAGCUGGGAGAAAUAUGAGCAUCACAGCCCAUUAAUACGAUAAUGAUGUCCAUCUUUGAGGCCAGUUAGGUGACUGAUUAUAUCACUGACUGGACUACAUUUUUUCACACAGUCCUGGAGCAGCAAUAAAGCUAAAAGACCUCCUGAAGCAGCUGCUGGUUUCUGGAGACUGGUGCAGCUGUCGUUCAAGUGUCCUGUUUUGGGGGCAAACUUGGUCUGAUUAGUUGGGACAGAAUUCAUCGUACUCGGGAUGGUGCGGCUCGUUUAUCCAGAAAUCUGACUGAUUUUGUUAGCCCUUGCUACUCUGGCCGGGGUGGUGGAGUUGCAGCUACUUAUAAUUCCAGUCUUAAAAUUAAUGUCUUCUUAGUUUCCCACAUCCAGCCUCAAAGACCACGAGACCAGUACUAUUUGCUCCCUUGCCCUCCCAAUCCAUACUAAGAGUUUUCUCAGUUUCUCAGUUUCUUUUUGAUCUAGUCCUCAGUGCAGACAAGGUCGUUGUUGUAGGUGACUUUCAUAUUCAUGUGGAUGUGGAUUAAGAUAGCCUUAGCAUUGCUUUCUUGUCUCGGUUAGACUCAGUUGAGUUUACACAGUGUGUACACAGACCUACACAAUGUUUUUACCACACCCUCGAUCUUGUCCUGGCUUAUGCCCUUGAAGCUUAAACCUUCUAAGUCAGCUUGCUAAAUCCCCUUUUAUCAGACCGCUUCCUUAUAGCUUUUGAAAAUGUGCUAUCAGGCUAUUCUCCUCACAAUAAAACGCCGCCAACUAGAAGGUUGUCUGAAAGUGCUGUAGCAAAGUUAAUGGAGGUAACUCUGUUUUCUCUUAAUUCAGCAUUUAAUCCAAUAUGUCAUUAUUAAUAGGAUAUGUCCUAGUCUUUGAAAACUGCAGUGAUUAAACCUCUUCUUAAAAAACCUACGCUUGACUCAGGCACUUUAUCUAACUCUAGACCGAUAUCUAACCUUCCCUUUAUUUCUAAAAUCCUAGAGAAAGGAUUUGUGGUUUGUGAUGUGAAUCAGCUUUGUGAUUUUUUUUUUCAUAGCAAUAGUUUUUUGGAGAAUUUUCACUAAGGAUUUAGAGUCCAGUAGGUGACAAAUGACCUACGUAUGGCUUUGGACAAUGGUUUUCCCUCUGUUCUUGUCCUGCUAGAUCUUUGUGCUGCAUUUGAUACAUUCGGCUAUCACAUCCUGCUACAGAGACUAGAACAACCAAUUGCAAGAACUGCUCUAUCCUGGUUUAAAUCCUUUUUACCAGAUCCCAGUUUGUCCACGUUAAUGAUAAAUCCUCUGUGCAUACCAAAGUCAGCUACGGUAUCCCACAAGGUUCAGUGCUUGGACCAAUUCUUUUCACUUUUAACAUGCUUCUCUUGGGUAAAAUUAUGUGGAAAGACUAGGUUAAUUUUCACAGUUAUGCAGUGGACACUCAGUUAUUCUUAUCCAUGAAGCCAGGAGGAACAAAUUGGGUGUAGCAGAGAUGACCACUUUUACAUCCAAACUCCCAAAGGAAUGUAAGGCUUACAUCUGGUCACUGGAGAUGAGAUGGUGUAGACCUUUAACACCAAAUCACAACCUUUCUACAACCUCCUGUCUUUAGAAGACAACCAAAGAAGCCUUCUCAAAAGGACAAACCUUUUAUCCUUUCUACUUCAAAAGACAGAGACAGGAUAGUUUAUUGCCAGCAGGAAAGAACUGCAGGACCACUCAAUCAGUUAAACAUUUGUCAUCACACCUUGACUGGAAAGUGACAGGUUUAUCAGUUUAACCAUAAAUAUUAACUAUGGUUGAUCUUCCCUGUGUUCUCUUUGAGUACAAUCCAAAGAGAAUAACUACAACUAGUCUUAUUACAGGUUGGGUGGACACUGCACAACGAUCUUCUGUCAGUACUAAACAUUUGCAGUAAAACAGUCUUUGUCCCAUUUGUCGAUCAUGUUCAUAAGCCAAGAUCUCUGUAGCGAUUUGAAUUGAUAAUAAAUGUCUUAAGAUUAAUAAUUGAUAAUAAUCUUAAUUUAUGAUAUUUAUGCACUCGUUGAAAGGGGCACCACCCACACUUCAUGGUGGGAAAACAAAGAAAAACAAAAGUUUAAUUCAGAAAUCAAACAUUAAGUCAAUCUUAAAUUAAUCAAUCUCAUAUCUCAAGCUGAAAUUCUCAUUUCAGGGACUCCACUUGGAAGAAAACUAACAGACAAGAACGAAAAAUAAUGAUCUGUUUAUUACAGGAUAAAUGAUGGUACAACAUACAUGCAAUAAAUGAUGAUAAGAAAAUGAGGAUAGAUAAUAAUAGGUGAGUAAUAAAAGAUUCUGAGUCAGGCUAGUACAGGAUAGUAAGUGAAUAUGCUCUAACAUAUUAACCUGCAUUAACUUUGGUGUCAAGAUAAAUUGAAUGUGGAUUUGGAUGAAUUUAGGAUUAUAAAAUAAAGAAAAAAAUUCAAUCAUUUAGCAUGAGACAGCAUCAGCCCUGUUUGGAACUCUGGAGGUUUGCAUACUUAAGUGAAAUUGGCCCUUGGAGAAGAUGGAGCAGGUACGGAAGGUCCAGGGCUACCGGCGGUUCGAGAGAUUCAGCUCAGAAGAUGACCGAAGUUAGCCGAAAGAUGGGCCAGGAGUCGCAGCACUCAGGCCCGAAGCAAAAAACAGCGCUUAAUAUAUCCUUUGGAUGCUUCUUUGGUCUCACAAAAACUCUGGCACAGAGGAUGACUGGGCCUGCUGGGUGGCAUUCAGGGGUGACUUUGCAAUCACGGAGAUUAAAAAGUAGGCUUGAUGGCCAGUCGAAACUGUAGUGAUUUAAAUGAGCCUCACACGGUCGCACCAAAAUAUAUGUAGCGAUUUGAAAUGAGCCUCACAAGGCUGCACCAAAAUAAUACUGUAGCGAUUGGAAUUUAUAAUAAAUGUCUGAAGAUUAAUAAUCUUAAAUUAUGACAUUUAUGCACUGGUUGAAAGGGGCACCACCCACCCUUAAUGGUGGGAAAAUAAAGAAAACAAAAGUUUAAUUCAGAAAUCAAACAUCAAGUCAGUUUUAAUUAAUCAGUUUUAAUUAAUCAGUCUCAUAUCUUAAGUCGAAAUUCUAAUUUCAGGGACUCCACUUCUGGAAGAACACUAACAGACCAGAACUUAGAAAAAUAAUUAUCUGUUUAUUACAGGAUAAAUGAUGGUACAACACACAUGCAAUAAAUGAUGAUAAGAUAAUGAAGAUAAAUAAUAAUAGGUGAAUAAAUAAAGAUUCUGAGUCAGACUAGGAGCACUAAAGUUAAUGAUAGUGAGUGAAUAUGCGCUAACAUAUUAACCUACACUAACUUUGGUGUCGAGAUAAACUCGGAUGUGGAUUUGGAGGAAUCUAAGAUUACCAGAAUAAGUGGAUAUCUGAGUUAUGAACGCAGGAGACAGCACCAGCCCUCUUUGGAGCUCUGGAGGUUUGCAUACUUAAGUGAGACUGGUCCUUGGAGAAGAUAGAGCAGGUUCCGAAGGUCCGGGGCUACUGGCGGUUCAAGGGGUUCAGCUCAGAAGACGACUGAAGUCAGCCGAAGGAUGAGCCAGGAGUUGCAGCACUCGGGCCCGAAGCAAAGCCAGCGCCUGUGGAUCCUGUGGAUGCUCGUUUGGGUACUUCUUUGGUCUCACUCAAAACUCUGGCACAGAGGAUGACCUGGGCCUGCUGGGUUGCGUUCAGAGGUGACUUGAAAUCACG